CCCAAUCAGAAAUAAUAAUAAUUUAAAAAAAAAAAAAAAAAACAUAAUUAAGGCGCCUUAUACUUUUCUCAAUUACAGAUGAAGUGGCAACAUCCUACACUUGAGAAAACUCAAACAGAGAUAUAUAUAGUAGGCAUGUCCAGGUACCAUACUGUUUCUACAACCUUCUAGCAUAGAUUGAUCCCAGGAGGCUUCUAAGUUUACAAGUCUAAAUCUUGAAACCUUAACAUCAAAUCAACUCCAAUCAGGAUGUCUUGAUUUUUGUGUCAGAAUGCUUUAUAAAUGAUUUGAUUAUUUAUAAUCCAUGGGUUAGCAAAGCAAUGGCUAUCCCAUAGAACACAGAACACCCACCUUUAGCAGCGCCGUUGGAUAUCAUCAUUCUCCGCCUCCAAAUUAUGCUAGCUCUUCCCUCCCAACAACAUGCCUAACAAUAAUGAAUCCCAAAACUCGAUACUAAGCACAUAAACCUAGGUGUAAAAUUAGCUCAUUAAAGUAUGACCUAGCCAACUUGUUUAAGUUUGGACGGUUAAUUAUAAAGAUUCAGAUGAGGGGGUCAAAAGAUGAUUAUAUUAAAUCUAGCAACAAGUUUUUGAAUUCAUAAUCUUUUUUCUUUGGUUUCCCAUCCGGUGUCCGGUGCCCGCAUUGAAGUCACAAUAAGUACAUAUAUUACCCAAUUCAUAAUCUACAACUAACUGAAAC
rnacentral:lncRNA from 1 species